CGUAGGGAGCAAGCGUUGUUCGGAUUUACUGGGCGUAAAGGGCGCGUAGGCGGCGCGGUAAGUCACUUGUGAAAUCUCUGAGCUUAACUCAGAACGGCCAAGUGAUACUGCAGUGCUAGAGUGCAGAAGGGGCAAUCGGAAUUCUUGGUGUAGCGGUGAAAUGCGUAGAUAUCAAGAGGAACACCUGAGGUGAAGACGGGUUGCUAGGCUGACACUGACGCUGAGGCGCGAAAGCCAGGGGAGCAAACGGGAUUAGAUACCCCGGUAGUCCUGGCCCUAAACGAUGAAUACUUGGUGUCUGGGGUUUCAAUACCCCGGGUGCCGUCGCUAACGUUUUAAGUAUUCCGCCUGGGGAGUACGCUCGCAAGAGUG
rnacentral:rRNA from 1 species